rnacentral:tRNA from 1 species
GCUGCUAUGGCACAGGAGGUAGCGCACCACAUUGGUAGUGUGGAGGUCACCGGUUCGAAUCCGGUUAGCAGCU